UGCGCAGGCGGAUUAAUAAGUCGGGGGUUAAAUCCAUGUGCUUAACACAUGCACGGCUUCCGAUACUGUUGAUCUAGAGUCUCGAAGAGGAAGGUGGAAUUUCCGGUGUAACGGUGGAAUGUGUAGAUAUCGGAAAGAACACCAGUGGCGAAGGCAGCCUUCUGGUCGAGUACUGACGCUCAUGCACGAAAGCGUGGAGAGCAAACA
rnacentral:rRNA from 1 species